rnacentral:antisense_RNA from 2 species
UUACAUGGCGGGCGGUGCGUGGGGGCCUCGUGCCCGCCGGCGCUUCUACAUCGACCUCCGGUAUUGGAACCAUGCACCGUCCGCCACCCUC